rnacentral:rRNA from 1 species
GCCAUGCAUGUCUAGUAUAAGCAAUUAUACCGCGAAACUGCGAAUGGCUCAUUAAAUCAGUUAUCGUUUAUUUGAUAGUUCCCUACUACUUGGAUAACCGUGGUAAUUCUAGAGCUAAUACAUGCAAAAAACCGCGACUUCGGAAGCGGUGUAUUUAUUAGAUUAAAGACCAAUGCCCUUCGGGGCUGACUGGUGAUUCAUGAUAACUUCUCGAAUCGCACGGCCUUGCGCCGGCGAUGGUUCAUUCAAAUUUCUGCCCUAUCAACUUUCGACUUUAGCGUAGUGGGCUAAAGUGGUUACAACGGGUAACGGAGGGUUAGGGCUCGACCCCGGAGAAGGAGCCUGAGAGACGGCUACUACAUCCAAGGAAGGCAGCAGGCGCGCAAAUUACCCAAUCCCGACACGGGGAGGUAGUGACAAUAAAUACUGAUACAGGGCUCUUUUGGGUCUUGUAAUUGGAAUGAGUACAAUUUAAAUCCCUUAACGAGGAACAAUUGGAGGGCAAGUCUGGUGCCAGCAGCCGCGGUAAUUCCAGCUCCAAUAGCGUAUAUUAAAGUUGUUGUGGUUAAAAAGCUCGUAGUUGAACCUGGGCCUCGCGCAGACCGGUCCGCCUCACCGCGUGCACUGGUCCUGCCGGGGCUUUCACUAGGGGAUUCGCAUGCCCUUCACUGGGCGUGCGCGGAACCUGGACCUUUACUGUGAAAAAAUUAGAGUGUUCAAAGCAGGCCUAUGCUCGAAUACAUUAGCAUGGAAUAAUAGAAUAGGACGUGUGGUUCUAUUUUGUUGGUUAUGGGACCGCCGUAAUGAUUAAUAGGGACAGUCGGGGGCAUCAGUAUUCAAUUGUCAGAGGUGAAAUUCUUGGAUUUAUUGAAGACUAACUACUGCGAAAGCAUUUGCCAAGGAUGUUUUCAUUAAUCAGGAACGAAAGUUAGGGGAUCGAAGACGAUCAGAUACCGUCGUAGUCUUAACCAUAAACUAUGCCGACUAGGGAUCGGGCGAUGUUACUUUUUGACUCGCUCGGCACCUUACGAGAAAUCAACAGUUU